rnacentral:lncRNA from 1 species
CGAGACUCGAAGCCAGGUCCUCCAGAGUGGAAAGCUGAAGCGUUUCCACGCGGCCAAUCCGGUCGACACACUAUGAAUAGUUAAGUCGAUACGACUUUCGAAUGGAUAACAUCAAAUAUACUUUUUUUGGAUUCCCUGAAUUAUCUAGCAUAGUUCUACUAGAAUGCGUUUCUUUAAUAAUAGUGUAAAACACGCUACAGUCAUUUCGAAACUCUCCAUCAGCACAAGAUCAUAUUAUCCCUUCAAGAAAAAACUUCAAUGUUGCAUUUUUUUUCUAACAGAUGAAGCCACUUUCCACUCAUUAAGAGUUCUAAGUGGCGGGACUAAACAAGCCCUUCCACAGGUUGCUCACCUCUUCGGAGGGAUCAGCUGAAUUGUGGA